rnacentral:rRNA from 1 species
AACGGCCGCGGUAUACUGACCGUGCAAAGGUAGCAUAAUCAUUAGUCUUUUAAUAGAGGGCUGGAAUGAAGGGUUUAACGAAAAAUUAACUGUCUCAAUUAUAUUUUUAGAAUUUAGCUUUUAAGUUAAAAGGCUUAAUUUUUGUUGGAGGACGAGAAGACCCUAUAGAGCUUUACAUUUUUAUUUAUUAAUUUUUUAAGUUUAAUAAUUAAUAUUAAUUUUUAGAAUUGUUUUGUUGGGGUGACAAAAAUAUAUAUGUAACUUUUAUUAUUUUUUUACAUUAAUUUAUGAAUUUUGGAUCCAUUAAAGAUGAUCAUUAGAAUAAGUUACCUUAGGGAUAACAGCGUAAUCUUCUUUCAGAGUUCAAAUUUACAAGAAGGCUUGCGACCUCGAUGUUGGAUUAAGAUUAUAACUAGGUGUAGCAGCUUAGUGUAUAGGUCUGUUCGAC